rnacentral:rRNA from 1 species
AUUGAACGCUGGCUGCAGGCCUAACACAUGCAAGUCGAGCGCGAAAGGCCUUCGGGCUGAGUAGAGCGGCGGACGGGUGAGUAACGCGUAGGAAUCUACCUGGUAGUGGGGGACAACUUGGGGAAACUCAAGCUAAUACCGCAUACGCCCUAUGGGGGAAAGUGGGGGACCUUCGGGCCUCACGCUAUCAGAUGAGCCUGCGUAGGAUUAGCUAGUUGGUGAGGUAAAGGCUCACCAAGGCGACGAUCCUUAGCUGGUCUGAGAGGAUGAUCAGCCACACUGGGACUGAGACACGGCCCAGACUCCUACGGGAGGCAGCAGUGGGGAAUAUUGGACAAUGGGCGAAAGCCUGAUCCAGCAAUGCCGCGUGAGUGAUGAAGGCCUUAGGGUUGUAAAGCUCUUUUACCAGGGAUGAUAAUGACAGUACCUGGAGAAUAAGCUCCGGCUAACUCCGUG